GGCCCCUGGAGGGCUCUGGCCUCUGCUUGCCCCCUGCACAGGGUGGACAGAGGACUGAAAGGCUGUCCUGCCAACCUUACUAGAGCUGGAAAUAACUUUGUGUUGAUUUGCUUUAGACAAGUACACUGGGAAGACCUCAGGGAGCAGCUGCAGCCUGUGGAUGCUGAAUUCUCAGGCUCUGAGGCCACCCCAGCCUCUCCCUCCAAAAGCUCCCAGAAGCACUUUGGAAAUAAUAGUCUAAGGUCCCCAGGCUGGGAUCAAACCUGUGAUCCUCCUGCCUCAGCCUUCCAGAGCCGAAAGUACAGAUGCAGCCACCUCUGCAAAAGCCCCACCUGUGACCACAAGAGGCUCUGAGGGGCCGUCCAGACCCAGCCCUGACAGGGAGUUUCCGCCCUUUGGUCAGAGGAAUGCCAGGUGUGCAACUAAGGAAGGCUCCUCGGGAUGAGCCUGGCGUGGCCUUCAUCCAAACCCAAGGGUGUGGCGAGACUGACGUGGAGAAGCAGGAGGCAGAAGAACUGAGGCACAAGGUGUGGUGGAGCACGCCGUUCCUCCCAGCAUUCAAGAGGCUGUGGAAGAAGACUGCUGUGCAUUCGAAGCCAGCCUGAACCAACUACGUGCACACGUCCUCCUGACCCCAUCCCUACAGUUUCUUCACAAAGGGGCACUGGGAAGAGUGGCACGCUGAGAACCAUGAGGGGUUUUAUUCCUAGAAAAAGCGCAAAGAGCUGGACUUGGCUUUUUCAACCCAGAUCAGAAACCCUAGGUUGUCAUGGCAGGCAGAAGUGAUCCAAACCCUAAGCACAAAGCUGGAGUUCGGGCGUCCUGGGUGUCAGUCUGUGGUGAUCAGCCUUGCGGGCCUCAACGAGGAAGCAGAAAGAAACAGGACCAACCGGAGCACAGGGCCAGAAUGUGACGGGCACCAGGUGAAACACACAGCUACAGGACAGAGUGCCCAGAAAUCAGGUGUGGUGGUGCAGGGCGCAUAGAUGUAACUCCCAACCUGCUAGAGGUCAGACACGCCAAGUUCCUGCUCCCUGGAGUCGAUGAAUUCUAAGGAACAACAGAGGUUAAGAGUAGGAAAAUUUAGAGCUAAAACAGAGUUUUGGACUUCUGUACACCUCUGGGACCUCAGGCACCACCCAUCAGGGGGGCCCAGAUAAACAGCCUGUCAGUUAAGCUUAUCAACAUAGUUACAAUGUCACAGAAAAGAGAUGCCCGAUUCCCAGGCCAGUGGAGUUUCAUCUUAUUCUGAAUAAAGGCCAUAUUAUAUUUAAAAAAAAAAAAAAAGAGUAGGAAAUUUAUUG
ensembl:lncRNA